UUUUGCUGAUGAUACACUUAUUUUUCAGUUCUGCUUCUGAACAUACAGGAAGAUAACCCAUUUACCAAAAGCUCAAUAUCUGAAAA
rnacentral:snoRNA from 1 species